rnacentral:lncRNA from 1 species
AGGGGGAUAAAGAUUAUUCAUGCUGAUGUGGCUUAGCUAGUUAAUACCUGUUAUUUCAGUCUGUAUAGUUACGUAUAGUUAGUUUGUUAAGAGUUGAUCAGCUGAAAUGUCAGUAACUGUUUUUCUUCUCCUUUUUUGUAUAUUAAGAACAGUUGUCCAGACUUUCUUUACAGAACAAAGAUUGAUUCUCUUUUUCUUCAUCUGAUAUU